GGGGGUGUGGCUCAGUGAUAGAGCAUUUGCCUGGCAUGAAUGAGGCCCUGGGUUCCAUUUCCAGCACCACAA
rnacentral:tRNA from 1 species